GGUAGCGAAAUUCCUUGUCGGGUAAGUUCCGACCCGCACGAAAGGUGUAACGAUUUGGGCACUGUCUCAACGAGGGACCCGGUGAAAUUGAAGUACCUGUGAAGAUGCAGGUUACCCGCGACUGGACAGAAAGACCCCAUGGAGCUUUACUGUAACCUGACAUUGGGUUCUGAUACAUCACGUACAGGAUAGGUGGGAGGCAUGGAAGCGAGGACGCUAGUCUUCGUGGAGCCGCCGUUGGGAUACCACCCUUGAUGUAUCGGAAUUCUAACCGUAGGAGUAACGAAACUCGGGACAGUGUCAGGCGGGCAGUUUGACUGGGGCGGUCGCCUCCCAAAGAGUAACGGAGGCGCCCAAAGGUUCCCUCAGCGCGGCCGGAAAUCGCGCGAAGAGUGUAAAGGCAGAAGGGAGCUUGACUGAGAGCCAAACACGGCAAUCAGGUACGAAAGUAGGGCUUAGUGAUCCGGUGGCAUCCAAGUGGAAGGGCCAUCGCUCAACGGAUAAAAGCUACCCUGGGGAUAACAGGCUAAUCUCUCCCAAGAGUCCAUAUCGACGGGGAGGUUUGGCACCUCGAUGUCGGCUCAUCACAUCCUGGGGCUGAAGUCGGUCCCAAGGGUUGGGCUGUUCGCCCAUUAAAGUGGUACGUGAGCUGGGUUCAGAACGUCGUGAGACAGUUCGGUCCCUAUCCAUCGCGGGCGCAAGAGAUUUGAAGGGGGCUGCUCCUAGUACGAGAGGACCGGAGUGGACGAACCAAUGGUGUACCAAUUAUCUCGCCAGAGGUAUAGUUGGGUAGCUACGUUCGGAAAGGAUAAACGCUGAAAGCAUCUAAGCGUGAAACCAGCCUUAAGAUGAGAUCUCUCAUAGAGCAAUCUAGUAAGACACCUUGGAGAAGACGAGGUUGAUAGGUCGGGAGUGUAAGUACAGUAAUGUAUUCAGCGGACCGAUACUAAUAUGUCGAGGGCUUGACUUG
rnacentral:rRNA from 1 species